AGUGAACGCUGGCGGUAGGCCUAACACAUGCGAGUCGAACGGCAGCACAGUAAGAGCUUGCUCUUACGGGUGGCGAGUGGCGGACGGGUGAGGAAUACAUCGGAAUCUACUUUUUCGUGGGGGAUAACGUAGGGAAACUUACGCUAAUACCGCAUACGACCUACGGGUGAAAGCAGGGGAUCUUCGGACCUUGCGCGAUUGAAUGAGCCGAUGUCGGAUUAGCUAGUUGGCGGGGUAAAGGCCCACCAAGGCGACGAUCCGUAGCUGGUCUGAGAGGAUGAUCAGCCACACUGGAACUGAGACACGGUCCAGACUCCUACGGGAGGCAGCAGUGGGGAAUAUUGGACAAUGGGCGCAAGCCUGAUCCGGCCAUACCGCGUGGGUGAAGAAGGCCUUCGGGUUGUAAAGCCCUUUUGUUGGGAAAGAAAAGCAGCAGGUUAAUACCCCGCUGUUCUGACGGUACCCAAAGAAUAAGCACCGGCUAACUUCGUG
rnacentral:rRNA from 1 species